GCCAUCUUCAAUUUCUCCCAAGUACCAAUUGGUUUGGCACCACAACUACUCCUCUCCUUUUGUACUUGAUCCCACCAACUUAAGGCAUAUUCCUUAAAUCCUGAAGUAGCCAUCAUAACUUUCUUCUCUUCAUUGUAAAAAUUACAAUAGAAGACAUUUUCCAUAUUCAUUUCCCACAUUAUAUAGGCUUCGGGAUCUUUUUUGCCAAUAAAGGUGGGAACCUUUAUUUUAACCCCCUCAAGCUUCUCAUCCGUACGUGCUC
rnacentral:lncRNA from 1 species